CCUACGGGUGGCAGCAGUGGGGGAUAUUGCACAAUGGGGGGAACCCUGAUGCAGCGACGCCGCGUGGGUGAAGGAGCGUUUCGGCGCGUAAACCCCUUUCGGCAGGGAAGAGUAGAAGACGGUACCUGUUGAAUAAGCCACGGCUAACUACGUGCCAGCAGCCGCGGUAAUACGUAGGUGGCAAGCGUUGUCCGGAUUUACUGGGUGUAAAGGGCGUGUAGCCGGGUUGACAAGUCAGAUGUGAAAUCCUGCGGCUUAACCGCGGAACUGCAUUUGAAACUGUUGUUCUUGAGUACUGGAGAGGUAGACGGAAUUCCUAGGGUAGCGGUGAAAUGCGUAGAUAUAAGGAAGAACACCAGUGGCGAAGGCGG
rnacentral:rRNA from 1 species